AGAUUCUAUAAUUUUGGAUCCACCAGUCUUUAUAGACUUGUGAUAUUUUUAUCAGAUUUUGUAGCAAUUUUGGCUCUUAACAUAUCAAAUGGAAAAUAAUUUGUGAUUUUUUUUAUCAGUAUAACAUUUCUGCAACUGUAACUUUUGGUAGAGGAAUUUACAGGAGCAGAGUUUCCCCUAAUUGCCUCAAAGCACUCAACAAUAAAUCCACCUUGACAUUUACCAUCAGGAAUUUUUCAAACUUUGGUUAUGCAACGGAAAUCAUUUCCAGAUGCACUGUGCUGCUUAUCCCAUUCUUUUUUCCCUCUUCUACAUUAUCAGAGAUUGAAGAGGUAGAGGGAAUCCGCGACUGACUUGGCAAGCUCUGGACCAAACUGUCCUCUUCUUUUAUACUUGAUAACUUCCAUGUAAAGUUUCAAGAACAAGAUCCUGGGUACCUGUGGAUCAUGGAAACCAGGAGAGAAAUCAUCAGAAAUUUUCACAAAUUCAGUGUGGAGAGCAUGGUGCUAGCCCAGAGAUCAAUUCAGUCAUGGAGAAAUACUAAGAAACCUGUCAUCAAAUCAGAGAUAGAGAAGUCUUAUGACCAGGUAGAGACUGAUUUCUUGACUCUCUCUACGUUUGGAAUCUGAUCCGUUCUGGAAAUGGUGUUGGGACUGGGAUCAGGAAGAUCUGACUGAAUUCAAAUAAGCCUCAGACAAUUACUAAGCUAUGUGACUAUGAGCAAGUUGCUUUAAUCUCUGGUUGCCUCAGUUUCUUAGUUUAUAAAUUCUUCAUUUGUCAAAUGAUAUAUAAGGUAUAAUGUAAAAUGUAUAAUGUAAAAUGAAAAAUAAUAACAUCUACUACCUCCCAAGGUUGGCAUGAGGAUCAAAUUAGACAAUAAUUGUAAGCACUUAGCACAGUGCCCAGUACAUUGUAAAUUCUACAUUUAUAAUAUAUAUUAGUUAUUAUUAUUUCUGUGAUAUUUAUUGUGUAAAUAAAACUGUUCUACAAUUUGAAGCCUUGUGAGUC
rnacentral:lncRNA from 1 species